GUGGCUGAGGCUCAGUGGUAGAGUGCUUGCCUGUCACACAUGAGGCACGGGGUUCAAUCCUCAGCACCACA
rnacentral:tRNA from 1 species